rnacentral:lncRNA from 1 species
CGGUAAUCAAAGAAUCCAGAAACAAAGAGAACAUAUGGUCUUCGUUGCCAUUUUCAACCAAGUCUCCCCCGUUCCCGCUGCUGCUUGGCUGCCCCAUACAAUCAUCACCAACCUCUUGUUGGUGUUGAUAUAUCUGAUGAGAUUCCAGGUUAGUAGUUGCCAUGGAAUUAGUUUUUUCUCCCAUUAAUUCAGAAGAUUUGGAGGAGCUUGGGGGAUUAGGGUUUGAUUCUGGGACAUCAUCAUCAUCAUCAUCCUGGUUAGCUUGUGAUGAACCAUGGCUAACAGGGUUCAAUGGUUUAUGGGUUCUUGGAUCUAUUCCUUGGCUGAUUAAAUUCUUGCUUAGAUGGGUAUUCCAGUAGUUCUUUAUUUCAUUAUCUGUUCGUCCCGGAAUCCUCCCAGCUAUCAAUGCCCACCUGAAAAUAUUCAGAGUGUAAGAACCCUUAAUCUUACAGUUCAUAUAUUCAUAUGCAUAUAUAUAUGUGUGUGUGUGAUAUUGCUAGUACCUUCAAAAAAAGCCAAAGAUGAAUCAUUGGAAUUAACUUGCAAGAAACCCUAAAAGGGAAUCAAAAGAAAAACCUCGAAAAUAAGUUUCAUGAUUAUGAAUAUCAGGAAGAGAUGACCUGUUUCCGACCAAGCGAUGAAGACGAAGAACAAGAUCUUCUUCAUCAGGAGCAAUAGGACCUCGUUUGACGGUGGGUCGGAGAUAAUUCAUCCACCGGAGACGGCAACUCUUCCCACAUCUAAGUAAACCAGCUC